rfam:Ictidomys tridecemlineatus contig094993, whole genome shotgun sequence.
GGGGUUGUGGCUCACUGGUACAGCACUCACCUACCAUGUGUGAGGCACUGGGUUCGAUUCUCAGCACCUCA